CCUUUGAUUAAACUUCUUCAUUAUAAAUUAUGAAAUUUAUUUAUGUUACAAUUACAGUUAUCAUGACUGUGACAGCAUAUUUUCUACAAGUAGAGGGAUGCGAAAAAGAAGGUGGUUUAUGUACUACGAACGGAAAGAUCAACGAUCAAGGUAGUUGUUGUGAAGGAUUUGUCUGCAACGCUGUGGCUAUCAGCGUUAAAGGUCGUUUCUGGGCAGGAACUUGUGCCAAGAAAGGCGAAAUACCUUGUAAUGAAAUAGGUUGCAAAAAUAAAUACGGCGUUGUAGCAGUCUGA